UACAUGGGGUGCAAACGUUGCUCGGAAUUAUUGGGCGUAAAGCGCGCGUAGGCGGUUACUCAAGUCGGAUGUGAAAGCCCUCGGCUUAACUGAGGAAGUGCACCCGAAACUGAGUAGCUAGAGUACUAAAGAGGGUCGCGGAAUUCCCGGUGUAGAGGUGAAAUUCGUAGAUAUCGGGAGGAACACCAGUGGCGAAGGCGACUACCUGGCCUGUUCUUGACGCUGAGGCGCGAAAGCUAGGGGAGCAAACGGG
rnacentral:rRNA from 1 species